rnacentral:rRNA from 1 species
AGUGACCGCUGGCGGCGUGCUUAAUACAUGCAAGUCGAACGGAGUUGCGCACGGGCGAGUAAGUUAUAGCUAAUCUACCCUCCCCUCGAGGACAACAGUUGGAAACGACUGCUACUACUUACCAGUGUAGGAUGAGGUUAUAUUGUAUCAGCUAGUUGGUGAGGUAAUGGUUCACUAAGGCUAUGACGCAUAACUGGCCUGAGAGGAUGAGCAGUAACACUGGAACUGAGACACCGGCCGGACGCCGACGGGAAGCAGCGAUAGGGAAUAUUGCUAAAUGGGGGAAACCGUGAAGCAUCAACGCCGCGUGGAGGAUGAUACUUUUCGGAGCAUAAACUCCUUUUGUUAGGGAAGCGGUACCUAACGAAUAAGCACCGGCUAACUCCGUGCCAGCAGCCGCGGUAAUAC